rnacentral:rRNA from 1 species
UGGGGAAUUUUGGACAAUGGGCGAAAGCCUGAUCCAGCCAUGCCGCGUGAGUGAAGAAGGCCUUCGGGUUGUAAAGCUCUUUUAUCCGGGAAGAAAGCGCUGCAGUGAAUACUUGGGGUUUAUGACGGUACCGACAGAAAAAGCACCGGCUAACUACGUGCCAGCAGCCGCGGUAAUACGUAGGGUGCGAGCGUUAAUCGGAAUUACUGGGCGUAAAGGGUGCGCAGGCGGUUUUGCAAGUCAGAUGUGAAAGCCCCGGGCUUAACCUGGGAAUUGCGUUGGAAACUACAAGGCUAGAGUGCAGCAGAGGGGAGUGGAAUUCCAUGUGUAGCAGUGAAAUGCGUAGAGAUGUGGAAGAACACCGAUGGCGAAGGCAGCUCCCUGGGUUGACACUGACGCUCAUGCACGAAAGCGUGGGGAGCAAACA